AAUUUACUUAAUCUGAACUCUUGAAAUUGUUAGUAAAUAAAUACUCAAGCCUUUUGUCAAACAAUAAACAGUUCGAGUGACUAAAAGUCAUUGUCUUUUUCGGUAACUAUCCGAUCGGUCAUUUUGGACAAUUACAUUUUGCUCGAUUGUUUGAGGGCAUAAGAAGAUAUAUACGAUGGAUUAUGAUUUAUGUGAAUCAUCGGUUUUGAUUUUCAGGCGGAAUUGAUUUAGGAGAAUAGUCUCAGCUAGA
rnacentral:lncRNA from 1 species